AGCGAACGCUGGCGGCAUGCUUAACACAUGCAAGUCGCGCGGGUGGUUUCGGCCAUCAGCGGCUGACGGGUGAGUAUCGCGUAGGAAUGUAUCCCGAGGUGGGGGACAACCCUGGGAAACUGGGGCUAAUACCGCAUGGGGCCUGUGGGUCAAAGCCUUAGGGCGCCUUGGGAGCAGCCUGCGUCCGAUUAGGUAGUUGGUGGGGUAAAGGCCUACCAAGCCUGCGAUCGGUAGCUGGUCUGAGAGGACGAUAAGCCACGCUGGGACUGAGACACGGCCCAGAUUCCUACGGGAGGCAGCAGAGGGGAAUAUUGGGCAAGGAGCGCAAGCCUGAUCCAGCAAUGCCGCGUGGGUGAAGAAGGUCUUCGGAUUGUAAAGCCCUUUCGGCGGGGACGAUGAUGACGGUACCCGCAGAAGAAGCCCCGGCUAACUUCGUG
rnacentral:rRNA from 1 species